GAUUAUGGAGGAGAUGAAGCGCAGGCUUGUUAGUUCAGGGAAGCAGAGGAAUUGUACUUCCGUGGUUGAGGCGUCGACAGUAUUGUGCAUCAUGCAGCUCGCUUCUAUUGGAAAAGAAUCAAAGAGUUCAGACGACAUUGUUUACUGAUGGAAGAGGGUACUUACGUACGUAGUUGAUCUCCAGAAUUGGUUAAUGUGAUUCAUGAAGAUUACUCCGAGCUACUUUGAGCCUUGAAGGAAAUUACUAUCCAUCCAAAUAAACUACUGUGAACCAAGAAGACAUUCUUUUCUGCUUUUUAACCGAGAAGAGUACUUUCCAAUCUAUAGCUUUUGACAAGGC
rnacentral:lncRNA from 1 species